AAUACCUCCUGCUAUUAUUGACCCCUACCUUCCAUAACUAGUCACCUAUCGAUGGAUUGAUCUAUUAUUGACCCCUACCUUCCAUAACUAGUCUCUUAUCGAUGGAUUGAUCUAUUAUUGACCCCUACCUUCCAUAACUAGUCACCUACCCAAUACCUCCUGCUAUUAUUGACCCCUACCUUCCAUAACUAGUCUGCUAUCGAUGGAUAGAUCUAUUAUUGACCCCUACCUUCCAUAACUAGUCUCCUAUCGAUGGAUAGAUCUAUUAUUGACCCCUAUCCUCCAUACAUGGUCUGCUAUCGAUGGAUUGAUCUAUUAUUGACCCCUAUUCUCCAUACAUCGUCUCCUAUCGAUGGAUUGAUCUAUUAUUGACCCCUAUCCUCCAUAACUUGUCUGCUAUCGAUGGAUUGAUCUAUUAUUGACCCCUACCUUCCAUAACUAGUUUCCUAUCGAUGGAUUGAUCUAUUAUUGACCCCUAUCCUCCAUACAUAGUCUGCUAUCGAUGGAUUGAUCUAUUAUUGACCCCUAUCCUCCAUACAUAGUCGGCUAUCGAUGGAUUGAUCUAUUAUUGACCCCUACCUUCCAUAACUAGUCGCCUAUCAAUCUAUCAGACCCCUAUCUGUCUGGUAGCCAUUUAUCAAUACAUCAGUCCCAACCCCCUCCCUCCAUGCCUCACUCCUAACCUCCUCCACAGUGUUAUAGAGGUACCAAUAGUUUUAUAUAAUGUCAACCUUGCGUUUUAGGAGUCUUUGUUGUUGCUUGUUUAAUGGGACUGAAUAAUAAUAUUGAUGCUGUUGUAUUUUAUUAAGUUGGUACAAAACAUGACAUUCCUCCACAUUUUCUUCACUGUCCUGAGAUAUGUGUUCUGAUUAUUACAAAAUGAAAUGUAAAAAGUAUAAAUAAAUAUGUAAUAAUAAAAUAAAUGUAACAUCCUACCCUCCCAAACAAAUGUGUUUCUGGUAUGUGUAUCUCUGUAAAUAUUUCUAGUUAUUCUAAAGGUAUCUCUGUAAUUUACAGGUUAUCGCUGUCAUUUGGUUUCUGGUAUGUGUAUCUCUGUAAAUAUUUCUAGUUAUUCUAAAGGUAUCUCUGUAAUUUACAGGUUAUCGCUGUCAUUUGGUUUCUGGUAUGUGUAUCUCUGUAAAUAUUUCUAGUUAUUCUAAAGUUAUCUCUGUAAUUUACAGGUUAUCGCUGUCAUUUGGUUUCUGGUAUGUGUAUCUCUGUAAAUAUUUCUAGUUAUUCUAAAGGUAUCUCUGUAAUUUACAGGUUAUCGCUGUCAUUUGGUUUCUGGUAUGUGUAUCUCUGUAAAUAUUUCUAGUUAUUCUAAAGGUAUCUCUGUAAUUUACAGGUUAUCGCUGUCAUUUGGUUUCUGGUAUGUGUAUCUCUGUAAAUAUUUCUAGUUAUUCUAAAGUUAUCUCUGUAAUUUACAGGUUAUCGCUGUCAUUUGGUUUCUGGUAUGUGUAUCUCUGUAAAUAUUUCUAGUUAUUCUAAAGGUAUCUCUGUAAUUUACAGGUUAUCGCUGUCAUUUGGUUUCUGGUAUGUGUAUCUCUGUAAAUAUUUCUAGUUAUUCUAAAGUUAUCUCUGUAAUUUACAGGUUAUCGCUGUCAUUUGGUUUCUGGUAUGUGUAUCUCUGUAAAUAUUUCUAGUUAUUCUAAAGUUAUCUCUGUAAUUUACAGGUUAUCGCUGUCAUUUGGUUUCUGGUAUGUGUAUCUCUGUAAAUAUUUCUAGUUAUUCUAAAGGUAUC